rnacentral:ncRNA from 1 species
UUUGAUGAGGCGCAUCAAUCAUUAGUAAGUAUGGCGUGAUACUACCUGCAAGUAGCGCAGACUGAAAGGGUGAGAUGCCGAAAUGACUUACAAUUGCAGUUGUACGUUGUUGGAUUCUUAGGUUAAGAGCUGUGAAUCUGUCAUUAUGAAAAUAAUGGAGUGCAUC